AGCAGUUUGCUGCUAUUUUCAUAACGUAAUAGAUAUAGUAGCAUGCCAACAUGCAAAAAAAUGCGAACGACAAAAGUAUAAGAGGCGCGAUGGUGGCGUGAGUUUGUGGACAGGAUCCAGCAGAAGCAGUAUCUCGAAGAGUGGGACGAGGACGUGUGGGAUGGUACCGUGGAGCGGUACCUGCAAAGAAGGUGGGACACCAAGGGCCAGGCAGUUAACGGCAGACGGUCAAAAACUUGCCGAACCGGCUGCCACUAUGAGAGAAAAAGAGAGAGAAAUAGUGGCUGUCCGAGGGAACUGCUGACAAUACGAUUUAUUACGGAGGACCACCUCGUGGAAAUCUCAAUCCGUGGAAAUCAAGACCGCUUUUGCUGUUAUAACAUCAAAAGGGCAAAUAGCAAAUGGCGCUACCGGACUCUAUUCUCUCUUCCCAUGGAUCUUCAUUAAAUCGCCGAUUCGUGGUUGAAUCCUUAGUCUUUGAGAAUAUUCUCAGGGUAGAUAUCAUGCUUUUCUUUUAAAAGUUUACAUUGUAAGAAACAUUCUAAGAAUUCUUUAACUUCGAUAAAAAGAAUAUAAAUUACGAGGAGAGAGAUAAAAAUUUUUACAUUUCAUCAUCUACGUUAGAGAGAUUAACAGGAAAGAAAUUAAAAAAUUGAUCUAUUUACAACGGAAUAGCAUUACAUCAUUUAGAUUAGAAGUUGGCCUUUUAAUAUUCGAGAAUACUCUUUGUAAAGAAAAAUAAUAUUUUCCGUUUGAAAUUUUGUACUAUGACAGA